ACCCCGACCGUGCUGGAAACUUCCGUCCAAACCCCUAAAAUGACUUGAGGUGGCGCGGCGCACCCAAACAAACUCGCUCCCUCCUUCCUCCUUCCUCCGCCGCGGCCGGUGCCCUGCCUCCUUUGCCCCCGUGCGCAUAUUCGCCCGCAUCGGCGGCCGACACCGCUCCGGCCGCGCACCGGAAACGCGCACGGCAGUGAGGAAGGCCAGCCGCGCCGCGGUAUCUCCUCUAUUUGUUGUUCCUCCCGCGGAGCGGCGCCUGUUGUGUGUGUAGGCGUGGGGGCGGGUCCAUGGCGGCGGCGGCGGCGGCGGAUACCUCGGAGGCGUCCGCGGCCGGGCUCGCGCUCGCGGAGGCCAACAUCAACUGGGAGAGGUUGGACAAGACAAGGUUUCAUGUCAUCGGGGCAAUCCUGUUUACUGCCCAGCAAGGUGCUCUGCACCCAACAGCUGUUGUGAAGACUAGGAUGCAGGUUGCUGAAGGAGGGAUUGCACACAUGUCUGGAUUUGCUGUUUUUAGGAGGAUAUUGAGAAGCGAUGGCAUCCCUGGUGUUUUCAGAGGCUUCGGCACCUCUGCAGUUGGAGCUCUACCUGGGCGAGUACUGGCUCUAACAUCGCUGGAGGUCUCCAAAGAAAUGACCUUUAAAUACUCAGAACGGUUUGAUAUGUCAGAGGCAUCAAAAAUUGCUUUAGCAAACGGCGUGGGAGGCCUAGCGUCGAGUAUCUGUUCAAGCUCAUAUUUUGUGCCUCUAGAUGUGAUUUGCCAAAGGCUCAUGGUUCAAGGAUUGCCAGGUAUGGCAACAUAUAGAGGCCCAUUUGAUGUGAUAAACAAGGUUGUCAGGAUGGAAGGGAUCCGGGGGCUUUACCGAGGUUUUGGAAUCACGAUGUUGACUCAAUCUCCAGCUUCUGCCCUUUGGUGGAGUGCAUAUGGUGGUGCUCAACAUGCUAUCUGGAGGAGCUUGGGUUAUGGAAAUGACUCGCAAACAAAACCAUCUCAGUCAGAGCUUGUUGCUGUCCAAGCGACAGCAGGAACAAUCGCUGGUGCUUGCUCGUCGAUUAUUACCACACCAAUAGAUACCAUCAAAACUCGUCUUCAAGCCAUUGCCUCAGUUUUGCAACUGCCCUCCUAUACAUCAGUAUGACAUUUCAAGGUUGGCACUGCAACAUUUCUGUUGUUGCCGGUGCUAGCAGACAAUGUUAACAGUACUCGGACGAUCAUAUCAUACCUUAGGUUAUGGACAACUACGGUAGUGGCAGGCCAUCUGUCAUGAAAACAACCAGGCUGCUGCUAGACGAAGAUGGCUGGAGGGGUUUUUAUAGAGGUUUUGGACCAAGGUUUCUUAACAUGUCUCUCUGGGGCACAUCAAUGAUCGUGACUUACGAGCUCAUAAAGAGGCUCUCGGUAAAGUCGGAAUAAUACUUUUUUGACUUAUUUCCCAACAGAGGUGAUUAGUUCAAGAUCAUCUUUACCAAUACAGGCUAUCUAAUGAGUUGCUGCACAAAAAGUGUUGGCAAAUAUUACGAUCGAGUAGGAUGCAGAUUUGCCACUUAGUUCAUUAGUUGCAUAACAUGCUUCUGUAUGAGACUUGCGAUGUAUAUAUGUGUGCUAAAGGCUAAAAGUCCCUCCUUUCAGGAUGUUGUAGCCAGCCUCUAGCGUGUAAUGGGAACAGGCCCAUAGGCCAUAGGCUUGUUCUGGCUAAUGGGGCAGCUUUUUGGCUGUAUCUGUUAAAUGGUUCAGCAAAAUUUUGGCAACGUAGCAUCCUUUUUGUUCAGUGACGAGUUCUCCACUUGUAGGUGUCCGGCUACCUACGUCCUGCUAGGAAUCUACCAAGAUUGUUCAUUA